rnacentral:misc_RNA from 1 species
GAUGAAGAACGCAGCGAAAUGCGAUAAGUAAUGUGAAUUGCAGAACUCAGUGAGUCAUCGAAUCUUUGAACGCACAUUGCGCCCACUGGUAUUCCGGUGGGCAUGCCUGUUCGAGCGUCAUUAUCCUCCCUCAAACCCCGGGUUUGGUGUUGGACCCAAGUUGUGUGAACAACUGGUCUCAAAGACAAUGACGGCGUCCGUGGGACCCUCGGUGCAACGAGCUUUUAGGAGCACGCAUCGAGUUGCAAGGACCUUCCGGGCCGGUCUCCUUUACCAUUUUACAAGGUUGACCUCGGAUCAGGUAGGAAUACCCGCUGAACUUAAGCAUAUCAAUAAGCGGAGGA